rnacentral:rRNA from 1 species
AGACCCGAAACCCGGUGAUCUAGCCAUGGGCAGGUUGAAGGUUGGGUAACACUAACUGGAGGACCGAACCGACUAAUGUUGAAAAAUUAGCGGAUGACCUGUGGCUGGGGGUGAAAGGCCAAUCAAACCGGGAGAUAGCUGGUUCUCCCCGAAAGCUAUUUAGGUAGCGCCUCGUGAAUUCAUCUCCGGGGGUAGAGCACUGUUUCGGCUAGGGGGCCAUCCCGGCUUACCAACCCGAUGCAAACUGCGAAUACCGGAGAAUGUUAUCACGGGAGACACACGGCGGGUGCUAACGUCCGUCGUGAAGAGGGAAACAACCCAGACCGCCAGCUAAGGUCCCAAAGUCAUGGUUAAGUGGGAAACGAUGUGGGAAGGCCCAGACAGCCAGGAUGUUGGCUUAGAAGCAGCCAUCAUUUAAAGAAAGCGUAAUAGCUCACUGGUCGAGUCGGCCUGCGCGGAAGAUGUAACGGGGCUAAACCAUGCACCGAAGCUGCGGCAGCGACACUCAGGUGUUGUUGGGUAGGGGAGCGUUCUGUAAGCCUGCGAAGGUGGCCUGUGAGGGUUGCUGGAGGUAUCAGAAGUGCGAAUGCUGACAUAAGUAACGAUAAAGCGGGUGAAAAGCCCGCUCGCCGGAAGACCAAGGGUUCCUGUCCAACGUUAAUCGGGGCAGGGUGAGUCGACCCCUAAGGCGAGGCCGAAAGGCGUAGUCGAUGGGAAACGGGUUAAUAUUCCCGUACUUGGUGUUACUGCGAAGGGGGGACGGAGAAGGCUAUGUUGGCCGGGCGACGGUUGUCCCGGUUUAAGCGUGUAGGUGUGUGUUCCAGGUAAAUCCGGUUCACUUUAACACUGAGGCGUGACGACGAGGCACUACGGUGCUGAAGCAACAAAUGCCCUGCUUCCAGGAAAAGCCUCUAAGCAUCAGGUAACAUCAAAUCGUACCCCAAACCGACACAGGUGGUCAGGUAGAGAAUACCAAGGCGCUUGAGAGAACUCGGGUGAAGGAACUAGGCAAAAUGGUGCCGUAACUUCGGGAGAAGGCACGCUGACACGUAGGUGAAGUGAUUUACUCACGGAGCUGAAGUCAGUCGAAGAUACCAGCUGGCUGCAACUGUUUAUUAAAAACACAGCACUGUGCAAACACGAAAGUGGACGUAUACGGUGUGACGCCUGCCCGGUGCCGGAAGGUUAAUUGAUGGGGUCAGCGCAAGCGAAGCUCCUGAUCGAAGCCCCGGUAAACGGCGGCCGUAACUAUAACGGUCCUAAGGUAGCGAAAUUCCUUGUCGGGUAAGUUCCGACCUGCACGAAUGGCGUAAUGAUGGCCAGGCUGUCUCCACCCGAGACUCAGUGAAAUUGAACUCGCUGUGAAGAUGCAGUGUACCCGCGGCAAGACGGAAAGACCCCGUGAACCUUUACUAUAGCUUGACACUGAACAUUGAGCCUUGAUGUGUAG